rnacentral:rRNA from 1 species
GAUGAACGCUGGCGGCGUGCCUAAUACAUGCCAGUCGAGCGAACAGACGAGGAGCUUGCUCCUCUGACGUUAGCGGCGGACGGGUGAGUAACACGUGGAUAACCUACCUAUAAGACUGGGAUAACUUCGGGAAACCGGAGCUAAUACCGGAUAAUAUAUUGAACCGCAUGGUUCAAUAGUGAAAGACGGUUUUGCUGUCACUUAUAGAUGGAUCCGCGCCGCAUUAGCUAGUUGGUAAGGUAACGGCUUACCAAGGCAACGAUGCGUAGCCGACCUGAGAGGGUGAUCGGCCACACUGGAACUGAGACACGGUCCAGACUCCUACGGGAGGCAGCAGUAGGGAAUCUUCCGCAAUGGGCGAAAGCCUGGCGGAGCAACGCCGCGUGAGUGAUGAAGGUCUUCGGAUCGUAAAACUCUGUUAUUAGGGAAGAACAAAUGUGUAAGUAACUAUGCACGUCUUGACGGUACCUAAUCAGAAAGCCACGGCUAACUACGUG